AGUCAUUGGAAUCCUGGAGUGUAAUAGUUCCUAGACCCCAAAAGUUAGUUGUCUGUUUUUAUUGAAAUUAUUUUUUCAUACCGUCAAAGUCACUGAAUACGUAUAACUGCUUUUUCUGAGCCAUAGUCCAAAUCUUUUUGAAUUGCUGAAAUUGCUUGCUUUGUACAGCUAUCCAACUCUAGGAUUUAAAGUAACGAAACUUACCAGCACUGAUAUAAAGUUUGUUGUUUAUUCCGUGAUUAGCAAGCAGUCGUUUGUUCGAGUCAUGAUAAAUGUCAUAUUUUAUCUUUUAUAUGCAAAAAAAUGAAAUUCUUAAAGUAAUUUACAGUCUUCUUUAUUUUAAAGGGCUGCAGAUUAAAAAUCGAAAUUAGUGUAGAGGUUGAAUUAACUUAAAGCAUAUAUUUAU